UACGGGGGGGGCAAGCGUUGUUCGGAAUUACUGGGCGUAAAGGGCUCGUAGGUGGCCAACUAAGUCGGACGUGAAAUCCCUCGGCUUAACCGGGGAACUGCGUCCGAUACUGGUUGGCUUGAGUUUGGGAGAGGGAUGCGGAAUUCCAGGUGUAGCGGUGAAAUGCGUAGAUAUCUGGAGGAACACCGGUGGCGAAGGCGGCAUCCUGGACCAACACUGACGCUGAGGAGCGAAAGCCAGGGGAGCAAACGGG
rnacentral:rRNA from 1 species